rnacentral:tRNA from 1 species
GGACUCGUAGCUCAGCUUGGUUAGAUCCUGAAAACGAGGUUUUCAGAUUUUGCCUCGUGGAGACAAAAGCGCUACGCUGAUAACGUAGAGGUCGGGAGUUCAAAAGACCGACGUGCACGAAGUGUACGUCUCUGUGAUUCUCCCCGGGUCCACCA